AUUGAACGCUGGCGGUAGGCCUAACACAUGCAAGUCGAACGGCAGCACAGGAGAGCUUGCUCUCUGGGUGGCGAGUGGCGGACGGGUGAGGAAUACAUCGGAAUCUACCUUUUCGUGGGGGAUAACGUAGGGAAACUUACGCUAAUACCGCAUACGACCUUCGGGUGAAAGCAGGGGACCUUCUGGCCUUGCGCGGAUAGAUGAGCCGAUGUCGGAUUAGCUAGUUGGCGGGGUAAAGGCCCACCAAGGCGACGAUCCGUAGCUGGUCUGAGAGGAUGAUCAGCCAAACGGGAACGGAGACACGGUCCAGACUCCUACGGGAGGCAGCAGUGGGGAAUAUUGGACAAUGGGCGCAAGCCUGAUCCAGCCAUACCGCGUGGGUGAAGAAGGCCUUCGGGUUGUAAAGCCCUUUUGUUGGGAAAGAAAAGCAGCCGGUUAAUACCUGGUUGUUCUGACGGAACCCAAAGAAUAAGCACCGGCUAACUUCGUGCCAGCCGCCGCAGUAACAC
rnacentral:rRNA from 1 species